rnacentral:lncRNA from 10 species
UCUAAAGAGCCUCAGCUGCCGCGUGCCUUCUGUCUGCUGUGGGCCCAGCAGCUGCACAGACCCCUCUUGUUGGGAGACAAGACAGGGCUCUUUCUCUCCCGUGACCUCAGCCUCAUCUCCAAUCGUGGGGAAGAGAGAAACUGAAAUUCUUCCUGUGACUGAACACAUGAGAAUGCAACAGUUACUUGGGGUAACAGGUUUCCUGUGGGUCCUGUGUGAAGAGUAUGCAUUCAUUCCAGUGUCGGGGAGGGGAGAAGAAUGAGGAGGAGGCAGUCCCAUGUGGAUGUCAGUGUGAUGAUUAGGAUGCCUGAUGCUUCCGAAACAAGAAUACACUUUACGAAAAUGCCCAUUGAAAAUACUUUUUCCUUUCUACUCUUGUGCUAAGAGUGCCUGUUUGGACCCCAUGGCUUCGUAAUGGUCAGUGUGUUUACCGUGGCCAAAAAGAGCCUGUGUGUAAGAGAAAGAAAUCCAUGUGGCUGAGUGGCAGGAGAACCAGAAGAGGAGUUAGGGAACUGGAUUCGAAUCCUAGCUCAGCUUCUAGCAAUGGCUUUUACCCUUGUCCCACGGCCCCCCUGCCCAACUCAAGAAGGUGAUGAAAUAGGCUGCAGAAGUUCCCAGCCAGGCAAGUAGAAGCAGGGUAUUGUGAAGAUGAAAGCAAAGAUAUGGCAAGAGCUCAGAAGAGUACCUGGCCCAUAAGAAAAUGCCAGUGUUGGAGAAAAUGGGAGAGGAAGCUGGAAAAGCC